UUGAUUACGUCCCUGCCCUUUGUACACACCGCCCGUCGCUGCCCGGGACUGAGCCAUUUCGAGAAAUUCGGGGACGGUUAGUGUGGCGGCUUCGGUCGCUGCACGGACUGGAACCGAUUUAAUCGCAGUGGCUUGAACCGGGCAAAAGUCGUAACAAGGUAGCUGUAGGUGAACCUGCUGCUGGAUCAUUACCCACGUGAUUCCAAUUCACCACCUACCCUCGCUGCCUAGCAGUUGCCUCAGCAUUCGGCACCGCCAAAUGCUCUCUGUCCAUGUCAGGACGAGCGCGGAUCGUUCGGGAGAAGAUCUGCGAAUGCUGGGGUUUGCACAUGGGCAGCUGUCCUGCGGGCGCAGCUUGGGAUGCUUUUUGCCGAGGUUGGAGCUGGUAUGCGGGCCCAAUGUUGUGCACAAGUGUAAGCCUGUGGUUGGCUGUGCACGCAUUGCGCUGGUUGCGGACCACCAUCGCUGGUCGGUUUGCUGCUCCAACGAGGCGAGGGCAUGCCCGUGGGACUGUGAACGGCUGUGCUGGCGUCUGUGCGUCGUUGAGCGGUUGUUGUGCCUUGCUCAGAUGGACCGGCCGAGAAUGGUGUUGAGUUGUGUUCUCGGUCUCACGUACCGUGUGGAGGUCUGUCUGUGUUUGGGUGCUACGUCCGUGGCCGUGAUGAGACGACGUGUUAGGGCCCGUGCGAGGCGCGUGGCUUAAGACUCAAUGAGUGUCAGCUAGGGCACCGCCAGCGUUUUCUUUUUUCAAUUAUUUUUUUAUACACUUUCUUCGGAAGGUUGACAAUGAAAUUCUAGUCUUAUCGGUGGAUCACUCGGCUCGUGGAUCGAUGAAGAACGCAGCCAACUGCGAUAAUUAGUGUGAACUGCAGAAACCUUGAACACAGAAACUUCGAAUGCACAUUGCGCCAGUGGAGUUAAAUCCAUUGGCACGCCUGGUUCAGGGUCGUUACCAUAAAGUGCACCGCAGUGCAUGUUUGCAAAGGUGUGGGAUCGUGUGUUGCACAACACGCGUUCUUGCUCUCUCUGUCAAUUGGUCCGGCAGCUGUGGGGUUGGGGUUGUGCUGGCGUGGAUUGUAUGAACUGUUUUCCUCGCUUUACACACCGUAACUUGGGCACUCCGCUCCCCAUCAGUUGCUGAGACUGGUGAAUGCUUUGCGCCAUGAGCAUUCGCUUCUCUUUUAUUUUUCGACCUGAACUCAGACGUGAACACCCGCUGAACUUAAGCAUAUCAGCAAGCGGAGGAAAAGAAACUAACGAGGAUUCCCUUAGUAACGGCGAGUGA
rnacentral:rRNA from 1 species